rnacentral:rRNA from 1 species
UUUGCCUACGGGAGGCAGCAGUGAGGAAUAUUGGUCAAUGGGCGGGAGCCUGAACCAGCCAAGUCGCGUGAGGGAAGACGGUCCUACGGAUUGUAAACCUCUUUUGCCGGGGAGCAACGGGGUCCUUGCGAGGGCCCGAUGAGAGUACCCGGAGAAAAAGCAUCGGCUAACUCCGUGCCAGCAGCCGCGGUAAUACGUAGGUGGCAAGCGUUAUCCGGAUUUAUUGGGCGUAAAGGGAACGCAGGCGGUCUUUUAAGUCUGA